UUUAUCACAGCAACAGGAAGUAACUGACACAAACGCCCAUAAAGAUGAAAAAGGUCUUGUGUGGAGCAGCGCUGUAUGCUCAUCCCUUCAUCAGAGUCAGCUGGAUUUUGCAAGGGAGGAAAGGAUCUACAUCUUCAAACCCUCCAGCCUGAGCUAGGCUCCCAGGACCCCACCCUCCUUCGCUCACACUUGCACGCGCAGGACCAGAGCCUGUGGGCCCUGGUGUACAUCUCCCGCCGAUGCAGAAUCUGCAAAUAGACGCCUCCUUCCACAACAUACCUCUCCACAAAGCCAACCCACUGAAACGGAGCUCAUUAUCUCCAGACAUCGCUGCGGCCAAAGGGCAGGCUAUGAUGCAGAGCAUCAUGGGAUGGCAGCCUUCAGUGGACAAUGACUUCGUGGUGGUCAGCAAGCCAAGAAGAGAUGAGCAAAAGACCCGGGUUGCCAGAAGAAUGUAAGUCAGCCUCGAAGACUGAGAAGGCAGAGUCACUACAUGGGCACCGGCACAGACCCUCCUGGCCCCUUGAGGUGAGUGCUGCUUCGUUGUGGAGCCUCGAAUGACUGUGGAGAAGAGAGUACCUAUCCGCACGAGUUGACCUCCAACCUGUCUCAAAAUGACGGGUCGAAGAUGAGUCUGUGCUCUGUCUCAAGUGACAGCCGUCCCACCAACGUAUUGUUCCCUGUCUUCAGAUAUUUGGACUCUACGAAGUACAGAGGCAGCGCAGAUUUUUAUCCUUGUGCAGAUUCUUCAAAAUGAACACAAGGUUACAUAACCCAAGAUGCACAGAGAAAUGUGCAGUGUGAUGGAGUUUCCAGGACACAGGCUGCAGACCAGUGAAUGGCCGACAUCAGCUGGCUUGGAGGGAGGUGCGCUGGAAUCUCCUGCAGUUCCUGACGGAAGUGGGCUGUUUCCACGGUUUAGAACCGCUCACAACGUGAGCUACUUUUUUUAGUCUUUUCAAGACAGAAGCUUGGGUCAAAGUCUUAUUCAUCUGUGGCAGAGGGUAAUAAAAACAGGAAGUCUGGGA